rnacentral:rRNA from 1 species
UCCGGUUGAUCCAGCCGGACCCGACUGCUAUCAGAGUGGGACUAAGCCAUGCGAGUCAACAUAGCAAUAUGUGGCAUACGGCUCAGUAACACGUAGUCAACAUGCCCAGGGGACGUGGAUAACCUCGGGAAACUGAGGAUAAACCGCGAUAAGUCACUGCUUCUGGAAUGGGCAAUGACUUAAAUCUAUAUGGCCCCUGGAUUGGACUGCGGCCGAUCAGGCUGUUGGUGAGGUAAUGGCCCACCAAACCUGUAACCGGUACGGGCUCUGAGAGGAGGAGCCCGGAGAUGGGCACUGAGACAAGGGCCCAGGCCCUAUGGGGCGCAGCAGGCGCGAAACCUCUGCAAUAGGCGAAAGCCUGACAGGGUUACUCUGAGUGAUUUCCGUUAAGGAGAUCUUUUGGCACCUCUAAAAAUGGUGCAGAAUAAGGGGUGGGCAAGUCUGGUGUCAGCCGCCGCGGUAAUACCAGCACCCCGAGUGGUCGGGACGUUUAUUGGGCCUAAAGCAUCCGUAGCCGGUUCUGCAAGUCUUCCGUUAAAUCCACCUGCUUAACAGAUGGGCUGCGGAAGAUACUAUAGAGCUAGGAGGCGGGAGAGGCAAGCGGUACUCGAUGGGUAGGGGUAAAAUCCGUUGAUCCAUUGAAGACCACCAGUGGCGAAGGCGGCUUGCCAGAACGCGCUCGACGGUGAGGGAUGAAAGCUGGGGGAGCAAACCGGAUUAGAUACCCGGGUAGUCCCAGCUGUAAACGAUGCAGACUCGGUGAUGAAUUGGCUUUAUGCCAAUUCAGUGCCGCAGGGAAGCCGUUAAGUUUGCCGCCUGGGGAGUACGGUCGCAAGACUGAAACUUAAAGGAAUCGGGGGAGCACCACAAGGGGUGAAGCCUGCGGUUCAAUUGGAGCAACGCCGGAAAUCUUACCGGGGGCGACAGCAGAAUGAAGGUCAAGCUGAAGACUUUACCAGACAAGCUGAGAGGAGGUGCAUGGCCGUCGCCAGCUCGUGCCGUGAGGUGUCCUGUUAAGUCAGGUAACGAGCGAGACCCCUGCCUCUAGUUGCUACCAUUAUUCUCAGGAGUAGUGGAGCUAAUUAGAGGGACUGCCGUCGCUGAGACGGAGGAAGGAGGGGGCUACGGCAGGUCAGUAUGCCCCGAAACCCUCGGGCCACACGCGGGCUGCAAUGGUAAGGACAAUGAGUAUCGAUUCCGAAAGGAGGAGGCAAUCUCUAAACCUUACCACAGUUAUGAUUGAGGGCUGAAACUCGCCCUCAUGAAUAUGGAAUCCCUAGUAACCGCGUGUCACUAUCGCGCGGUGAAUACGUCCCUGCUCCUUGCACACACCGCCCGUCGCUUCAUCGAAGUUGGUUCUUGGCGAGGUGAUGCCUAAUUGGUACUAUCGAACCUGGGGUCAGCAACGAGGGAG